UCCGGGGGUACUCGAGCGGCGAACGGGUGAGUAACACGUGAGCAACCUGCCCUAGGCUUUGGGAUAACCCUCGGAAACGGGGGCUAAUACCGGAUAGGACCUUCGGACGCAUGUCUGGGGGUGGAAAGUUUUUCGGCCUGGGAUGGGCUCGCGGCCUAUCAGCUUGUUGGUGGGGUGAUGGCCUACCAAGGCGACGACGGGUAGCCGGCCUGAGAGGGCGACCGGCCACACUGGGACUGAGACACGGCCCAGACUCCUACGGGAGGCAGCAGUGGGGAAUAUUGCACAAUGGGCGGAAGCCUGAUGCAGCGACGCCGCGUGAGGGAUGACGGCCUUCGGGUUGUAAACCUCUUUCAGCAGGGACGAAGCGCAAGUGACGGUACCUGCAGAAGAAGCGCCGGCCAACUACGUGCCAGCAGCCGCGGUAAGACGUAGGGCGCGAGCGUUGUCCGGAUUUAUUGGGGCGUAAAGAGCUCGUAGGCGGCUUGUCGCGUCGACCGUGAAAACUUGGGGGCUCAACCCCAAGCCUGCGGUCGAUACGGGCAGGCUAGAGU
rnacentral:rRNA from 1 species